rnacentral:rRNA from 1 species
AUUGAACGCUGGCGGCAUGCCUUACACAUGCAAGUCGAACGGUAACGAGCCUUCGGGUGCCGACGAGUGGCGCACGGGUGAGUAAUACAUCGGAACGUGCCCGAUCGUGGGGGAUAACGAGGCGAAAGCUUUGCUAAUACCGCAUACGAUCUACGGAUGAAAGCAGGGGACCGCAAGGCCUUGCGCGGACGGAGCGGCCGAUGGCAGAUUAGGUAGUUGGUGGGAUAAAAGCUUACCAAGCCGACGAUCUGUAGCUGGUCUGAGAGGAUGAUCAGCCACACUGGGACUGAGACACGGCCCAGACUCCUACGGGAGGCAGCAGUGGGGAAUUUUGGACAAUGGGCGCAAGCCUGAUCCAGCCAUGCCGCGUGCAGGAUGAAGGCCUUCGGGUUGUAAACUGCUUUUGUACGGAACGAAAAGCCUUCUUUUAAUACGGGAGGGUCAUGACGGUACCGUAAGAAUAAGCACCGGCUAACUACGUG